rnacentral:lncRNA from 1 species
UAAAAGCAGAAUUCACUCAACUAGACUAAGCUUUUUGACAAGUAUUGAUAGAUCUGGAAUUCUAACACAUGACACUGAUAUAAAAGCAUCAAACAAACAUGUUGUAAACAUGAAAUUCAAUAAAUCUGGUUGAAACAGGUUUGGCCACCAGAAACGUCGUUGAUGCAGAUGUAUGAAACCGAGAAUGAUGUGAUCAAUGCAUAAGCUCCGUUGAUCCAAGCUAGAUAAAGUCUUAGUGCUUAUACGAUCAAAACUGAGCUAUCACGACAUUUGUGCACAUAAAAAGACCGAAGGAAAGGCAUGAACAAAAUAAAAAACCAAAUGACAGUGAUAAAACAGCAAGGUUAAUUGCUCAUGACAGUAACAAUACGGAUCUGAAAGUAGAGGUUGGAAUUGAACGAAAACAAAUCAAAAGCACCGAUUAAAAUGAUGUAGACACUCUAUGGCACAGUGAACGAAGCAAAAUUCACUCAACAGAAUGAAUCAAACCAUAAAAGCAAUAGAACAGAACAAUAAGAACAGAACAACACGACAAAGGAAAAAAAAUUGAAGAAAGAGCACUUAGCUCUGGAAGCGUGACUGGAACAUUUGGCUCUUGAUGCCAAAUGAUGGAAGCUUCCUUGCAAAUCAAUCACGAGCAGCUCCCAAAACCAGAGAUGGUAGUGGAAUGAAGGUGCAGAGUGUGGCACGGUAAGUGUUUGAUGGAUGCUUCAAUGAAGGUGUGAGGAUGAAUCAAGGAAUCUCAAGCUCCGAAAGCCUUCCAAGAGGGAAGGAAGCUAAAGGAGAGGGUGUAGAAGAGGCACAAGUGUUUGAACUCUGAAAAAUGAUUUUGGAGAAAUCUGAACAACAUUUCAUUAAGUUUCAAAGUUAGCUUUUACAAUGUAAGGAGACUUCCUUUUAUAGAUGAAGGAGUGACUGCAAAACGUGCGAAGGAAGCUAUUCUAAGUGUAAAAGAAGCUUGCUAAGGAAGCUAUACAGUCUGGGAAACUUGGAAGGCAAGAUACAGCCC